GGGGGUAUAGCUCAUUGGUAGAACACUGGCCCAGCAUUCCUGAGGUGCUGGGUUCAAGUCCCAGCGCCACCA
rnacentral:tRNA from 1 species